rnacentral:rRNA from 1 species
AUUGAACGCUGGCGGCAUGCUUUACACAUGCAAGUCGAACGGUAACAGGCCUUCGGGUGCUGACGAGUGGCGAACGGGUGAGUAAUGCAUCGGAACGUACCCAGAGGUGGGGGAUAACGCAGCGAAAGCUGUGCUAAUACCGCAUGUGAUCUGAGGAUGAAAGCAGGGGACCGAGCAGCAAUGUUUGGCCUCGCGCCUUUGGAGCGGCCGAUGUCGGAUUAGCUAGUUGGUGGGGUAAAGGCCUACCAAGGCGACGAUCCGUAGCUGGUCUGAGAGGACGACCAGCCACACUGGGACUGAGACACGGCCCAGACUCCUACGGGAGGCAGCAGUGGGGAAUUUUGGACAAUGGGCGCAAGCCUGAUCCAGCAAUGCCGCGUGCGGGAAGAAGGCCUUCGGGUUGUAAACCGCUUUUGGCAGGAACGAAACGGUGUCCGCUAAUACCGGGCGCUAAUGACGGUACCCGCAGAAUAAGCACCGGCUAACUACGUG